UACAUGCAAGUAGAACGCUGAAGGGAGAGCUUGCUCUUCUGGAUGAGUUGCGAACGGGUGAGUAACGCGUAGGUAAACCUGCCCUGGUAUGGGGGGAUAACUAUUGGAAACGAUAGCUAAUACCGCAUAAUAGUAGAUGUUGCAUGACAUUUGCUUAAAAGGUGCAAAUUGCAUCACUACCAGAUGGACCUGCGUUGUAUUAGCUAGUUGGUGGGGUAACGGCUCACCAAGGCGACGAUACAUAGCCGACCUGAGAGGGUGAUCGGCCACACUGGGGACUGAGACACGGCCCAGACUCCUACGGGAGGCAGCAGUAGGGAAUCUUCGGCAAUGGACGGAAGUCUGACCGAGCAACGCCGCGUGAGUGAAGAAGGUUUUCGGAUCGUAAAGCUCUGUUGUAAGAGAAGAACGAGUGUGAGAGUGGAAAGUUCACACUGUGACGGUAUCUUACCAGAAAGGGACGGCUAACUACGUGCCAGCAGCCGCGGGUAAU
rnacentral:rRNA from 1 species